GAGGCGGAGCUUCAGUCUCAGAGAAGAGAAAGAGAAAUCCAAGAUGUUGGGAGAUCAUCAGGAAGAUGAUCACUGAAAUUUCAAGCAUUUUGUCCAUUUCAGUGUGGCUCAGCUUGAAAUUUACUGAGAACACCAGUCUGUUGUUCAGCUGUCUUUAAAACCUGUCUGAGUCCAAUGAAUCGUCCAUUUAGAAAAGGAUGUUGGCUUUUACGGUGUCCUCUCCUCAGAGACUCCACUAUAUAUAUGUAUGUUCUGGGAUUUUCAGUCAUGUUCUAUUGCCUCACAUGGGCCGCACGAUUAAUGUUGGAAUGUCAAGCUAAUAAAUUUGGCUAUCAGUAAAAAUUAAUGAUUAUCACCGGUAACUAAAGAAUUUGGGAUCUGAUGUUCAUCAGAAAACCUCGGGGCACCACCUGCCUUUAGUAGGAAAAGAACCAAUCUGUUGUAAUCAGUCUCAAUAACUUGGUUAAACUAUUAAUUUGGAAUUUGGAUUAAUAAUGACAUUAUUAGCAAUUACCAAAUUUUACCAGUAAAACCUGAAGGAUUCUGGAGUUCUUGGACAGAAGAGAUCAACAUUCCAUUCAUAACUGUGAAACAUCAAUGACACAAAGGAUCCCAAAAAGUAUGUUUAUUAAUAAUAAAGCAAAACCAAACACACAACUCUGUCAUGGUCGGUGUGCAGUUAGACCCAACACAGAGAGACAGAAGCAGGAUUAACGGUCGAGCAGGUUUAUUCGGUGCAGGAAAACCAGGAGGACUGCAGCCUGGCAGCAGCGUCACAGGUUGGAUAGAGAAGAAAACCAGUUGUUGCAGUGCAGCUUUGGUAAGAAGUUUAUCAAACACUCUGGGUCCUGGAUAAAAGCCUGAGUCCUCCGUACACCGUCACACCGUCAAGAUGUUUGUUCUGAAGACUUUCCUUCUGCUGCUGGUUGCUGGAGCUGUGCUGGUGUCAGGAACUGCUCCAUCCACCGCCACGGAGGAAACUCAAACUGAAGCUGUACGGGCUCAACGUGACCUCUUCAACCUGCCACCUGUACAUGGACUGACAGGAAAUGGAGUACCUCCAGGACAUGGACUGGCAGAAAAUGCUCCUCUACCACCUCACGGGGGGUAGAUGCUGUCUGAUGUUCUACAGAACAUCCGUCGGUAGUGAUGGCGUCCUCAUGACCAUUAAAGGGAUGGAUGGAGACGUCUUCUGGGACUAAACAUCUGCAGAUCACCUUCACCAUGAGUCACUGCUUCAUCUGAAAUCAUCUUCUCCUUUUAAAAUCAUCUUCUUCCUUCAAUAUCAUCUUCUCCUUUUAAAAUCAUCUUCUCCUUUUAAAAUCAUCUUCUUCACUAAAAAGCAUCAAUAAAAAUCUCA